CGGAACCAGAACCGGAGGAAGACCAGGAGCAGAACCCGCCGAUCCGAGCCGAGACACCGAACCCUGCUCCGGUACCGAGGCGCUGCGAGGCUCCGAGUUGUAACGGAACCGGACUUCCAGCUGAUGGGGUUCCCUCGCUCCAUCCGGUUCCGGUUACAUAACGGAUGUUUGUCCUCCCGUACUCCAACCUACGGAUCAGCUGACGGCUCCACCGGGAGCUUCUGGAGACACGUCGCCGUCUGACAGCCGCUCCACGCGUGGGCUGGACGGGCAGCGGUAGGAUGAGACGGCGGCGUGGAGGCCAAAAGACCGGAGAGCAGCUUCAGAGGACAAACUGGAGGAAAAAUAAAAUAACCUGUUAAACACACAUCUGUCUGAACAAACACGUCAUGAAAUAAGAGAACAAGUGUUUAAUUACUUUAGAAUAUAAAUAUGUUCUUACAUUUCUAUCAUCCUCAUCUCGGUGGUUUUUGUUUUUUAAAGGACGCACAUGCGCACAGUUUUCAACCCUUUAGGAUCUCACGUCAACAUAAUAAAAUAAACUCUGGGAUGAUAUUCUUCAUUUAAUGUAAACUCAGAUACCUGAUGCUCUGUAAUCCUUCAGCCGAUCGAUCUAUGAAACAGCUGGAAUCAGGUCUGGAAGAAACGGGUCUGGUGACCUGUUUUAGUUUAGAAUAGAAUAGAAUAGAAUAGAAUAGAAUAGAAUAGAAUAGAAUAGAAUAGGUCUAUAUUGUCACAGAAAACAAUAGAAUAUCAGUUUAGCACUCUCUGUACAGCAGCAUUAUAAAUAAACUACAUAAGACAAUACUAACACACCCUAAAAUAUAUACCACCAAAAUAUAAGAGCUACAUUCAGUGGUAUAUAUUUUAGUGUGCUAAUAUUGCCUUAUAUAGUUUAUUUAUAAUGCUGCUGUACAGAGAGUGCUAAACUGAUAUUCUAUUGUAAUUAUUCUCAAAUAAAACAAAAAGUAAAUCAAAUCUAAAGCUGUGGGAUCUGAAGCACCAAACAUCAGGAUCUUAUUAAAUAGAUAAAACACA